AAACUUUACUUAUGAUAAUAGUUCAAACUUCAAGCACAAAUGAUGCGCAAUCAAUUGGCGUCAAUUAAAUUAUCAUAUUUCCAGUAGUUCUUGAAUUAAUCGGCUUUUAAUUUCCACCUGCACCUGAAACAAUUUACUUUUUUUUAAUAGAACUAAUGGACGCACAACUAUGAUACGACGCACAAUUUAUUGAUAAUUGUAGGAGUAGUUAUCUAUGAUUGACAUUUUGGAUAUGAUCUUUGAACUAUGGAUAUGAUUUGGAAAUGUUUUAAACGAUUUUGCCUGCUUUGGUUCGCUUGCUGGGUUUUACCGAAGUGACCGGAGCGGUAUUUCAGUAAUUGUAUAAUAAUUAUGCCAUACCCAGGAGUUGUUUUUGCUGUUGUACUUGGGGUAGCUGUAGGUGCAGCUUUUUAUUAUUACUUUUGCAAUGAAGAGGAGAAGCCACAAAAACACAGACAAUUUACUCAUGAUAGACCCAGUCGUUCUGAAUCGACAGAAAGAAAGAUUUCUUGCAGCAUCUGUUUAGAUGAAAUGACUGUGACUACACAAGUAAGGGCAUUAUCUUGUGGCCAUGUUUUUCAUUAUGGAUGUAUUACUAAAUGGAUAAGUUGUCAAAAAAGUUGCCCAAUUUGUAGAACUCGCCAAUCGUAUAAGUGAGCAUAACAGGUUUUUAAUGUAUAUGUAAAGACAUGCAGCUUUCACAUGUAGUAAAAGGAAAAUAUUCAUCAUAAUUAUAUCUAAAAUGUGCCUUCUGGACAUCUCUUUAUAGAGUUCCAUUUUGGGAUAUGUAUAAGUAUAACAAUCGUGUUGUUUUAUACAUUUUUUUUUACUUUAAUGUAUACAUAAAAAAGUAUGUGUAUACUUAUUUAAGGCUUGGGAGUUGAUUGUUACAUAUGAUGUAGUAAAUAAUACAUUUGCAAAAUUUGAUUUGAUAAAGCUGUUAAAUUAAUUAUGAAACAAAAUUGAUGCAUUAAUCCAAUGACAAAUGAGUUUCAUCCUUUUAAAAGUGACUAAAAUAAUGCAGUCUUUUAUCUCGUUCAAUGAGUUAUUUACGUUUUCUUGCAAAACUAAUGUCUGUAACAGCUCCCAAAUCUUAUGUGGAAAUACAUAUCCAUCUUGUAUUCUUUAUUCAUUUGAUUUUUUAUUUUAAAGUGACUUGGAAA
rnacentral:lncRNA from 1 species